rnacentral:rRNA from 1 species
GUGAGGAAUAUUGCGCAAUGGAGGCAACUCUGACGCAGCCAUGCCGCGUGCAGGAAGAAGGCGCUACGCGUUGUAAACUGCUUUUAACCGGGAAGAAACCCCAGGACGUGUCCUGGGUUGACGGUACCGGAGGAAUAAGCACCGGCUAACUUCGUGCCAGCAGCCGCGGUAAUACGAAGGGUGCAAGCGUUAUCCGGAUUCAUUGGGUUUAAAGGGUGCGUAGGCGGAGCGUUAAGUCAGUGGUGAAAUCCUGCAGCUUAACUGUAGACUUGCCAUUGAUACUGGCGCUCUUGAGUGCGCUUGAAGUGGGCGGAAUGUGCCGUGUAGCGGUGAAAUGCUUAGAUAUGGCACAGAACACCAAUUGCGAAGGCAGCUCACUAAGGCGAUACUGACGCCGAGGCACGAAAGCGUGGGGAUCGAACAGGAUUAGAUACCCGUGUAGUCC